AACGCACCUUGCGCCCCUUGGCAUUCCGAGGGGCACACCCGUUUGAGUGUCGUGAAAUUCUCAAAAUCCUUUUCUUUGACCGGAAUAGGACUUUUGGACUUGGAGGUUCAAUGCUCGCUUUCACCUUUGAAAGCGAGCUCCUCUCAAAUGAAUCAGUGGGGUCCGCUUUGCUGAUCCUUGACGUGAUAAGAUGUUUCUACGUUUUGGAUUUGGCAUUGUUUUCUCCGCUCCUAACCGUCCGUCUCGUGGACAACGAUGGUGCUUCGGUCGCCGCCACCUAUGGCGGGAGGCUGGACCCACAAAGAACCUUGACCUCAAAUCGGGUGAGACUACCCGCUGAACUUAA
rnacentral:misc_RNA from 1 species